rnacentral:rRNA from 1 species
CCUACGGGGGGCUGCAGUGGGGAAUAUUGGACAAUGGGGGCAACCCUGAUCCAGCCAUGCCGCGUGUGUGAAGAAGGCCCUCGGGUUGUAAAGCACUUUCAGUGAGGAAGAACGCCUGGUGGUUAAUACCCAUCAGGAAAGACAUCACUCACAGAGGAGGCACCGGCUAACUCCGUGCCAGCAGCCGCGGUAAUACGGAGGGUGCGAGCGUUAAUCGGAAUUACUGGGCGUAAAGCGCGCGUAGGUGGCUUGAUAAGCCGGUUGUGAAAGCCCCGGGCUCAACCUGGGAACGGCAUUCGGAACUGUCAAGCUAGAGUGCAGGAGAGGAAGGUAGAAUUCCCGGUGUAGCGGUGAAAUGCGUAGAGAUCGGGAGGAAUACCAGUGGCGAAGGCGGCCUUCUGGACUGACACUGACACUGAGGUGCGAAAGCGUGGGUAGCAAACAGGAUUAGAUACCCUAGUAGUC